rnacentral:misc_RNA from 1 species
GAUGAAGAACGUAGCGAAAUGCGAUAAGUAAUGUGAAUUGCAGAAUUCAGUGAAUCAUCGAAUCUUUGAACGCACAUUGCGCCCCCCAGUAUUCUGGCGGGCAUGCCUGUUCGAGCGUCAUUUCAACCAUCAAGCCCUGCUUGUGUUGGGGUCCUGCAGCUGCCCGCAGGCCCUGAAAACCAGUGGCGGGCUCGCUAGUCACACCGAGCGCAGUAGCACAUCUCGCUCAGGGCGUGCGGCGGGCUCCAGCCGUUAAAGCACCCACCUUUCGCAAGGUUGACCUCGGAUCAGGUAGGAAUACCCGCUGAACUUAAGCAUAUCAAUAAGCGGAGGA